rnacentral:rRNA from 1 species
GUGCCAGCAGCCGCGGUAAUACGGAGGGUGCGAGCGUUGUCCGGAAUCACUGGGCGUAAAGGGCGCGUAGGCGGCGCGGAAAGUCGUCGGUGAAAGCUCAGGGCUCAACUCUGAGUCUGCCGGUGAUACUCCCGCGCUCGAGCUCACUAGAGGCAGAUGGAAUUCCGGGUGUAGCGGUGGAAUGCGUAGAGAUCCGGAAGAACACCGGUGGCGAAGGCGGUCUGCUGGGGUGAGGCUGACGCUGAUGCGCGACAGCGUGGGGAGCAAACAGGAUUAGAUACCCUGGUAGUCC